rnacentral:rRNA from 1 species
AUUGAACGCUGGCGGCAGGCCUAACACAUGCAAGUCGAACGGUAACAGGAAGCGGCUUGCUGCUUUGCUUACGCGUGGCGGAGGGGUGUGUCAUGUCUAGGACACUGCCUGAUGAAGGGGGUUACCUCCUGGAAACGGUACCUAAUACCGCAUAACGUCGCAACCCCAAGGUUCAGUACCUUCAGGCCUCUUUCCAUCCGCUUUUCCCUGAUGCCGCUCGGUAUUAGCUGGUUGGUCAGGUAACGGCUUACCAAGGCGACGAUUCGUAGCCGAUCUGAGAGGAUGAUCAGCCACACUGGAACUGAGACACGGUCCAGACUCCUACGGGAGGCAGCAGUAGGGAAUAUUGCACAAUGGGCGAAAGCCUGAUGGAGCCAUGCCGCGUGUAUGAAGAAGGUCUUCGGGUUGUAAAGUACUUUUAGCGGGGAGGAAGGGAGUAAAGUUAAUAUCUGUACGUAUUGACGUUACCCGCAGAAGAAGCCACGGCUAACUCCGUG